GACGAACGCUGGCGGCGUGCCUAAGGCAUGCAAGUCGAACGAGAUCCAUGGAAGCUUGCUUUCGGAAGAUCUAGUGGCGAACGGGUGAGGAACAAGUGAGAAACCUGCCCUGGAGAGGGGAAUAACAAUGGGAAACCAUUGCUAAUGCCUCAUAUUGCUAACGAAACACAUGUUUUGUUAAUGAAAUGAAUUUCGCCCCGGGAUGGUCUCGCUUUCUAUCAGCUUGAUGGUGGGGUAACGGCCUACCAUGGCGACGACGGAUAGCUGGUCUGAGAGGACGAACAGCCACACUGGGACUGAGACACGGCCCAGACUCCUACGGGAGGCAGCAGCUAGGAAUAUUGCGCAAUGGGCGAAAGCCUGACGCAGCAACGCCGCGUGCGGGAUGAAGGCCUUCGGGUCGUAAACCGCUUUUAGCAGGAACGAUAAUGACGGUACCUGCAGAAAAAGCACCGGCUAACUAUGUGCCAGCAGCCGCCGUAAUAC
rnacentral:rRNA from 1 species